AAUAACCACAAGGGGAGCUGCGUAAAGCAGCUGAGAGUGAGCGGCCGAGUUCUUACCCUUUGAACCUGUUAGUUAAUGCUAGCGAAGGAAUGUGGAUGCGAUAGGAA
rfam:Bacillus selenatarsenatis SF-1 DNA, contig: BSSF00064.